GCGAGUAUAGCUCAGUGGUAGAGCGUUCGACUCGAGAUCAAAAGGUCCCCGGUUCGAAUCCUUGUGUUUUCU
rnacentral:tRNA from 1 species